CUACUGUGGAUAUUUAUGUUAAAGACCUCAAGAUUAUAUUUAUUAAUUCAGUUAAACAACAUGAUGAAAACUACAUGGUUGCUUCAGUGGAUGUUGAUCUUUUUCAUAUCAAGAUUAAACCGAUAUCAUUGGAUGUGGUUUCCUUUGCGUACUAAAGAAUCGACUCUUUCUAUCUAUGGAUGUCACAGUUUUGUUUGCUUCAAAAUCUAGGCUUUUUUCAAAGCCACAAUUCUGUUAAAAACAUU
rnacentral:lncRNA from 1 species